rnacentral:lncRNA from 1 species
AAAAAUUAAACAAAAGGAGGCUAUGGAGCAACUACUAUAACUCAACAUAAAGGAAUCAAGUUAUGCGAAUCACAAGAGGCAAAGAGGAUGAGGUCUUGGCCAAGAUCGUGGCCGUGGACGAGGACAUGGAGGAGAAGGAAGAGGCAAUUACAAUAACUACUGUAAUAAUGGAGAAAGAAGUUGGAAUCCACAAGCAACAAGAGGUCGUGG